rnacentral:misc_RNA from 1 species
ACUAAUCAUAUGAUUUUCCAUUAAUUAAAAAAAAAGCACUAGAACAUUGAGAUUUCCACAAGCAAGCUCCAAGAGCAAGAAACAUUACACAUUUACACAAUAACUAAUUAAGUCCAUUUUGAGGAGAUGCCGCCGAAGGAGGAGCCCAAAUCCGUGGUGAAAAGUGUGAAGAAGUGUUUUCCGGAUCAGCCGGCGACGGGCUGCUACGUUUUAUAUGCCUUGCCGUUUGUCAUUUCGCUGGUCCCUUUUAUAAUGAAGAAGUUAAGCAGAAGAUGUUCGAAACCGCCGAAGCCCCCCUGUUGCUGAAGAGCGCGUGUACCCGAUGGUGAUGAAAUCCGAACAAAGUUUAUGGACUUAAUAAACUAAACAAAACAGAACGUUUAGAUUUUCAUUUCUAGAAUAAAAGUUCUCUACCAGCCAGUUAAUGUUAAGCAGUACGGCCCAAAUGCUUAAAAUCCCCGAUGCGAAAACAACGAAUACAACAAUACAUACAAGAAUUAAAGGUUCUCAUCGCAUGAAAUGAUUUUUUUUUUCAACAGUUGGAGUUUAAAUAAACAUUCAGUACUAGACGAUCCAGAUGAAAAACUAAUCAGGUGAUUCAAACAUUUACUAAUAUUUCGGCUCUGCAAGACAAGUUCAACAUUACAAAAGCCACAACACACAAUAACAUCAA